UCAUGGCUCGGGACGAACGCUGGCGGCGCGCCUAACACAUGCAAGUCGAACGGAGAUUACAGGCGGAAGUUUUCGGAUGGAAGCUUGUAAACUUAGUGGCGGACGGGUGAGUAACACGUGAGCAACCUGCCUAUCAGAGGGGGAUAACGAUUGGAAACGAUCGCUAAUACCGCAUGACAUAGCGGAACCGCAUGGUUCUGUUAUCAAAGAUUUUAUCGCUGAUAGAUGGGCUCGCGUCCGAUUAGAUAGUUGGUGGGGUAACGGCCUACCAAGUCGACGAUCGGUAGCCGGACUGAGAGGUCGAACGGCCACAUUGGGACUGAGACACGGCCCAGACUCCUACGGGAGGCAGCAGUGGGGGAUAUUGCACAAUGGGGGAAACCCUGAUGCAGCGACGCCGCGUGAGGGAGGACGGUCCUCUGGAUUGUAAACCUCUGUCUUCGGGGACGAAACGAGACGGUACCCGAGGAGGAAGCCACGGCUAACUACGUGCCAGCAGCCGCGGUAAUACGUAGGUGGCAAGCGUUGUCCGGAAUUACUGGGUGUAAAGGGAGCGUAGGCGGGCAGGCAAGUCAGGCGUGAAAUAUAUCGGCUCAACCGGUAACGGCGCUUGAAACUGCAGGUCUUGAGUGAAGUAGAGGUUGGCGGAAUUCCUAGUGUAGCGGUGAAAUGCGUAGAUAUUAGGAGGAACACCAGUGGCGAAGGCGGCCAACUGGGCUUUUACUGACGCUGAGGCUCGAAAGUGUGGGGAGCAAACAGGAUUAGAUACCCUGGUAGUCCACACCGUAAACGAUGAUUACUAGGUGUGGGGGGACUGACCCCUUCCGUGC
rnacentral:rRNA from 1 species